UACGAAGGGGGCUAGCGUUGCUCGGAAUGACUGGGCGUAAAGGGCGCGUAGGCGGAUGGCACAGUCAGAUGUGAAAUUCCCGGGCUUAACCUGGGGGCUGCAUUUGAUACGUGUUGUCUAGAGUGAGGAAGAGGGUUGUGGAAUUCCCAGUGUAGAGGUGAAAUUCGUAGAUAUUGGGAAGAACACCGGUGGCGAAGGCGGCUCACUGGCUCAUUACUGACGCUCAGGCGCGAUAGCGUGGGGAUCAAACAGG
rnacentral:rRNA from 1 species